rnacentral:tRNA from 1 species
AAUCAUCUAGUUUAAAAAAAACAUUAAGUUGCAAACUUAAAAAUACUACUGAUUA